rnacentral:lncRNA from 1 species
GCGAGACCGCUUGUUGCGGCGCGUAAGGGGGGCGAAGGUCGACACCAGAGCCGACUGCUGGAGAAGAAGGAUGCCGCGGGCGCCGGCACGGAACUGCGUAGCCCUGCGACUGGGAGCGCCUCGACGUCGAGAAGAGCAUCCCGAAGCCAUGCCGAAUCGUCGACGAUGAAGGAGAGAGCGCCGAAGAGGAUCUCAUGAACCAUGCACAAAUCUCCACCGCGCGACAAGAUGAAAAGAUGUAGUCGCAAACUCGCCGAAAGUCGCUUAGACGCCUGCCCCAUGGUGGGCGCCAACUGUCGUGGGUAUAAGUCUGACAGUAGAUGUGUAGGGUACGAAAGGAUGGGCAGAGCCUUAGCUACGACGAUGUUGUAUGAGUUCAGGCCCCUCUGCGAUGGAGGUAAAAGCCCUACGUCUCAGUGCUCUUGGGUGCUUGAUGUCGAGUGGAAUAUGGAUUAAAUUGAAUUGCUAACCUCUGCACCAGUGGGGAAGGGCGACUUAUAUACAGUGCGCUGCCCUUCACAACGGUUCGGUGCACAGGGGUGGAGUAGUGGCGAUUAAAUGUCUACGUUACAGGUAACGUAUGCCUUAAAUGCUAAUAAAGGUACAUGAAAACGUAUGACCGUUGCCCUCCAGGGGGGUUACGAUGUACACAGUGGUAUCCAGUCGGUAAGUUUGAUACGCUCCGAUUGCUCAUCUCCGACUGGAUGAUGGAGGAAUCGUCACCGACUGGAUGAUGGGAAGUCCUUAAUUCAGUCGGAACUGAGUAAGGGCCUUGUCCCUUAUGAAGGGUAGUCCUUGGGCAGGACCUAUAGGGCAGGCCUAUGACCCUACCCUAGGACUAUAACCCCAUCACGGACCAUUUCAAAAACCCUCGUGACGUCUGUGAUGUCAUCCGGGACUCCGAACAACAUUCGGUAACCACACAUAUAACUCAACUAUACUAAAACAUCAUCGAACCUUAAGUGUGCAGAACCUGCGGGUUCGAAAACUAUGUAGACAUGACACGAGACACUCCUCGGUCAAUAUCCAAUAGCAGGACCUGGAUGCCCAUAUUGGAUCCUACAUAUUCAUCGAAGAUCUUAUCGGUUGAACCUCAGUGCCAAGGAUUCAUAUAAUCCCAUAUGUCAUUCCCUUUGUCCUUUUGUAUGUUACUUGCCCGAGAUUCGAUCGUCGGUAUCCGCAUACCUAUUUCAAUCUCGUUACCGGCAAGUCUCUUCACUCGUUCUGCAAUACAAGAUCCCGUGACUUACACUUAGUCACAUUUCUUGCAAGGCUUGUUUGUGAUGUUGUAUUACCGAGUGGGCCCCGAGAUACCUCUCCGUCACACGGAGUGACAAAUCCCAGUCUUGAUCGAUACUAACUCAACGGACACCUUCGGAGAUACUUCUAGAGCACCUUUAUAGUCACCCAGUUAUGUUGCGACGUUUGAUACACACAAGGUAUUCCUCUGGUGACAGUGAGUUAUAUGAUCUCAUGGUCAUAGGAAUAAAUACUUGACACGCAGAAAAUAAUAGCAAUAAAAUGACACGAUCAAUAUGCUACGUUCAUAGUUUGGGUCUAGUCCAUCACAUGAUUCUGCUAAUGAUGUGAUCCAGUCAUCAAGUGACAACACUUGCAUAUAGUCGGAAAACCUUGACUAUCAUUGAUCAACUAGCUAGCCAACUAGAGGCUUGCUAGGGACAUUGUUUUAUCUAUGUAUCCACACAUGUAUCUAUGUUUUCAUUCAAUACAAUUAUAGCAUGGAUAAUAAACUAUUAUCUUGUAACAGGAAAUAUAAUAAUAACUAUUUUAUCAUUGCCUCUAGGGCAGAUUUCCAACAGCGGCGUGGCGGCAGGAGCUGACAUGGGAGGCGCUGAUAGAGACGGCAUAGGAGGACAAGCCGCAACAUGGAAGACUUUUCGGCGAGAGUCCUUGCGAGGUUGAGUUUCCACUGCGAGCUGCAGCAUGGAGCGUACUUCGAUGAAGGUUGGAGGAGGCCUCAUCAUCGGUAUGAAGGAGGCCUCCUUGUCAAAAUCCUUGUUGAGCCUGACGACAAUGAUGUUGAUGAGUUGCGAGUCGCUAACGGGAUCGUCGAGCUCGCGAAACUCAUUACCGAUGGCCUUGAUGCGUUGACACAAGAGGUUCGUCAUGGCAUCGCCUUGGGCCAAGUUACGAAGCUCGGUGUGCAGAGCGGGUUUUUUCGAGCAUCGAUAUUGCUUUGAAAAAGCUGGCGAAGGGAACCCGAGAUGUUGGCAGCGGUGGCGCCGUCGUGAUCAAGCAUGUUGAAGAUCUCGGUGGUGAUGCGGAUAUUGAACCACUGAACAAUGUGAGAUCAUCUUUCACCCAUUGAUGAUCAUCGGGGCUAGGAAGACUGUUGGAGGCGACGUGAGACCGGAGGUUGUAGUGUCCCACGUGUAGAUCAUAGAGGUGGCGCCAAUGAUAAUAGUUGUGGGCGGCAAGGUCAAGUAUGAUGGGGAUAAAGGGGCUGACAUCGGUGAUGGUGUCGACGAGCGACAUUGGUGCAGCGAGGAGGGUAGUAGGAGGUAUUGGUGGUGCUAGAUAAAGAGUAGAGGAAGAAGAUGCCGCAUCGGCGACGGCUUUGGCGAUGAGAGCACUCCGGUGCUCGAAGUAGCCGGACGGCGACGACGGUGGUGGAGUGGGCGGAGCCAUACCCUAAACCCUAGGAUCAAUAUUUGGUACCAUGAUAAAUGAAUAGAACUAUUGCUUAUUGAUUAUUUUGUAAAUGAUACUCUCUCCGUCCCAAAAUAAUUGUCUCAAGCUUAGUACAACUUUGUACUAAAGUGUAACAUCCCAAAUUUCCAAUUUCGAAUGUUAUUGCAUUAGAGCAUCUUGCAUAUCAUAUUUUAUUUGCAUAAUUGCUGAUCCUAAAAAUUCUAAGCAACUCAAGGACCCUUGCAGAGAGUUGGGAAUUUAUUUAUUUUCGUAUUGGAAUUUUCUCAAAUAAUGAAAAGAGGAUCAUUAGUUUUUAAUUAUUUUUCUCUUCAAAUAUUUCAUAUAUAAAAAUAUGAGAGAGGGGAUAAAAUGACUUUCCCAAAAAUAAAAAAUAUUUGAGAGGAAAUAAUAAAGCCAAAUAAUAAUUUUUAUUUGGAUUUUAUUUGCUAUUUUAUUGGAUUUACGAAAAUAUCGCAUUUUUCAAAAUAUAACUUCGCCCUUUUAAAAAUGUCCACGUUGUAGAGCUCAUUUUUAGGAGUCCGGCAAAAUUUGUUUCAUCGAAAUCGGAGUUCGUAUGGACUUACUUUUUAAUUUUCUAUAUCGUCCGAUUUCAAAAAAAUGAACCGACCCCGGAGGCCUAUAUAAGCCCCUCCCCCCCGCGCGCACAAACCCUAGCCGCCACUCGCUGGAGCACGCCGCCCGAGGUAGAAAAAAUUCAGAAUUUUUUUUGGUUUAUUUAAUUAACGGACGUUCGUCCGUACGUUUGUUUUAAAGAACACUGUUCGUUAAUUAAUUUCAGACGACGAACGUUCGUUCGUCCGUCUGUUCAUCAGAUUUAUUUUCUGGGAUUUUUCCGCGGUUANNNNNNNNNNNNNNNNNNNNNNNNNNNNNNNNNNNNNNNNNNNNNNNNNNNNNNNNNNNNNNNNNNNNNNNNNNNNNNNNNNNNNNNNNNNNNNNNNNNNNNNNNNNNNNNNNNNNNNNNNNNNNNNNNNNNNNNNNNNNNNNNNNNNNNNNNNNNNNNNNNNNNNNNNNNNNNNNNNNNNNNNNNNNNNNNNNNNNNNNNNNNNNNNNNAAACGCCUAGAUUUUCGCCAUGAAAAUCUCUUUCCGACUAAUCCACUUGCAUAAGAUUUUUAAAAAUAAAUGUUUUACUUUAGUCCAGAUUAGUAAACGAAUCUCGUUUCUUUCGCAGUUUGAGUUUCGUUGAUCCGUUUGAUUUGAUUCUUUUUGCAAACCGGAGCUCUUUACUUGAACUUUCUGCUUAGAUCUUAUUCGAUUUUACCCGUGCAUCUAUACUGUUGCUUAUGUGUGCUAUUGUUUGUUGCGAUAGAAUACCCGGAUUGUAAAGCGUGCUACUAUGAGUCCCUAGGUUUUGCGGAUCAUCAGCAAGGCAAGUAACACCUUGAUCAUAUCCCCUAUUACCUAGUUUUUAUUGCAUUAGAUCCACCCUCACACAUUGCAUGGUUAGGAUCUAAUUAACAUGUGGGUAUUGGGAAGUAGAUACUAAGGUAGAACCUAUUACCUGUUUACUAUCAAACUUUUGGGAGUUACUUCUACGUUAUGCUAUUAUUGCUAUGCUAUGCUCGUAGACGAUUAUUUGGGUGAGUGAUUUCCAUGACAUAUGUGAGCAUUGUUAGUUAACGGUUAACCUAAGGUGGAUACUUAAAUACACAUCUGGGUGGAUUGCUUGAGGCACCCUGGAAUCCCUAAUGGCUGUCAGGAUAUCCCGGGGGAACCGUGUGAUCAUCCUAAGGUCCGCCACCCAGCUUCAAAUGGAUCAUAAGACUAUUCAUACCUGAAACUUACGUGUGCAGCCACAAGCUAUUAUGGGCUCUAGCAUAGUUGAGUAAGUUGUGUGAAGCUCUCGAAGCGGUAGACUAGCAGAUGUAGAGGGUAUAGGUGGUACGGUCUAACCAGAAGUAGAGAGUUAAUGCUUCAGAAAGACUGUGUCUUGAAUUCUCUGACCAUGGAUGUAUUUCGAGUCUUGUGGGAAAAGUGCACAACCUCUGAAGAGUGUACAAACUAAUCAUGAUUAGCCGUGUCCCCGGUUAUGGACAUCUUGAGUAUCUGGCUCUUGGAUUUUCAUGUGUAUCUCAACACUCUAAAUUAAUUUGCGGGUUAAUGAUGAUUAUUUUGGGUUUGAGUUGGAGGAACCUUCUCAUUGUUUAAUAACUAACAACGUAGUUAAAUAAACUUUGUUCCACUUAGGAAGAAAUUUGGCUUUAUGCAAAACUGUUAACCAUAGAGCUUUCCACCAGCCAAGUAUACAUGUAGAGAUAGUAUUUAUUCUGCUCACUCUCUAUGUGUUACCUUGCCAGCAUAUUCCAUGUGCUGACCCGUUUCAGGCUGCAACGUUCAUGUUGCAGACUUUUCAGAUAUCGAGUAAGCGCCAUAGGUCAUUGUUUCGCACUCAGCUAUGCCGUUGAAGUUGAUGGACCUACUUUAUCUUCCAAGCCUUCCGCUGUUAUCAUAUUUAGAUGGCCUUAGGCCAUAUUAUUGUAAUAAGUUCUCUUUGAGAAAUUCGUUGUAAUAUGUGUGUGAUUGCUACUUUGUUAUAAUACCCAUCGAAGUAUUGUGCGUGUUAGCAUACCGAUCCAGGGAUGACACAGAUGCAUAGAGACUGGACUGAUUGAGGUCUGGUCGCUACAGAGGUGGUAUCAGAGCACACGUUGACUGUAGGACACGACCACUAAGCUAAAACCAUAGGUCACUCCUCUCUUCUCAUUUUUUGACUCCUCUCCCCUUUCAAAUCUAUAGGAUGGUGGAUAAAAGGAGCAAGUUUACUCAACCGAAUGAGGACACACCUUUUGGAAGACACUUGAAGGAAGCCACUAAGUACCUGAACAUCGGACUACCAAGCUUCACCAGGACCUUCAUCGCCACCGUACCAGACGAGGAGCGUUGGAAGAUUCGAGUUCAAGUUCCAGGAAGGACGUUCAUGCCAGUCACUAAGCCCAUAGAGUUUUCCUUUAAUGCACCAACCUGGGGCAUAGGAAAGAGCAUGGCAGCCCAAAUUACCAUGGGACGCAUUGGAGAAGUUUAUCACCAGGAUCUCGAAGAUACUAUCUACCAGAUUUGUGGACGCCGAGACGACCAGGGUGAGGUAGUCAUCACCAGGAGGGACAGAUCCAUUGCCUCUUACAUCCAGGAAUUGAACCAGCACAUUCGACUCCAAGAGAAUCAGAUGUAUGAGAGUAUGGAUACUUUAUAGAAGGCAAUGACGAGGAUCAAGGAGCUGGAGGAAGAACUCAAGUCUACACGAGAUGGCUACGGUGAGGAGACGACGACACUUGUGGAGAAGAAUGAUGAUUUGAUUAAGAAGCUAGAAGUCUUCAUGAUGGAGCCCAUGAUAGGAGGAGAUGAAGAUGUUCCCCCUAGCCCAAAGAGCUUCAUCAUCAACGACGACACCGACUCCGACCCUGAAAAAAAAAGAUGAUGACUACGUUGAUGAAGCUGGAGCAGAUAUCAUGGAGUCUUCCGCCGAUCAAAACUUCUAGUCGACCACCAUAUCAGUAGCAAGUAUUUCCCCAUGUAAAUAUUAGUUGAGCACUUUUGUGAAUGUUAGAUAGAUCGUUUGUAUGCUCUUGUUUGAAAUUGAUUGAGUGAUAUGUUUGUGUUUGUCUCAUGAGCAUAUGGGUGGUGUUUUCUCUUUAGACCUCACUCUAUUCUAUUUUCUCAUCUUUUCUAAACCCCUCAGAUGGCACCUCCGAGACGUGAAACCGAAUUUGCUUUCCCGCCAGAGAUCACCCAAUUGAUCCAGCAGCGGAAUGCCCUGAUGCAGAUCCUAGUCCAGAAUCAGAAUCAAGGGAACAACAACAACAACCCUCCGCCACCACCACCACCUGUUGGUCACUUAGCCCAUUUCUUAAGGCUAAAUCCACCGGUGUUCUCUAGUAGCACCGAGCCGAUUGUUGCAGAUGAUUGGCUCCGCAAGAUUGGAAGGGAGUUAACCACUGCAGGAUGCUCAGAUGCGGAAAGAGNNNNNNNNNNNNNNNNNNNNNNNNNNNNNNNNNNNNNNNNNNNNNNNNNNNNNNNNNNNNNNNNNNNNNNNNNNNNNNNNNNNNNNNNNNNNNNNNNNNNNNNNNNNNNNNNNNNNNNNNNNNNNNNNNNNNNNNAGUGUGUUUUGCCGCACAUCAGCUAGAUGGACCCGCAGCAUCAUGGUGGGAGAAUUUCACAGCCACUUACCCUAUUGACACUGUCACAUGGGAGCAGUUUCAGCAAGCUUUUCACACCGCCCAUGUUUCAGCAAGAGCUAUGGCCAUGAAGAAGCGUGAGUUUUGCAACUUACGCCAAGGAGGGCGCCCAGUUGGCCAGUAUGUGGAGGAAUUUAGCAAGCUAGCACGUUAUGCCCCUGAUGACAUUGCUACAGAUGCCGCUAAACAGGAGAAGUUCCUAGAAGGACUAAAUGAUGAGCUGAGCAUGCAGUUGAUGGUGGCAAGCUUCAACAACUACCAGGAGUUGGUAGACAAAGCUCUCAUGAUUGAAGGGAAGCAGAAGUAGAUUGACAAUCGCAAGAGAAAGUAUGGACAAGGGAGGUUCAAUUCUAGGGCUCAGCAGAAGCCCCGUUUUACACCGAACUCGAGAGGGCACAUUCACCACAACCAUGGGGGAAAUAAUUCCCAUGGAGGGGGUUCGCAUAAUCAUAGUGGCCCCAGGAAUGUGAAUGGUAAUGGAGGAAGCAAUGGACAGAACCAUUCCACCCCAGCAACGCUCGCCAAGAAGGAUCUAAGUCACAUUACUUGUUUCAAGUGCGGGAAGAAGGGACAUUACGCCACCGAGUGUCCCGAAGCAAAGAAUGGGAAUGGCAAUGACAGCUCUGGGAAGAAGCCCAACCCUUUCAACAGGGGACAAGUGAACCACGUUAGCGUGGAGGAGGUUGAAGCACAAUCUGAUGCGGUAGUAGGUAAGUUUCUGGUUAAGUCAUUUACUGCAAUUGUUCUUUUCGAUAUUGGUGCAUCACAUUCAUACAUAUCAAGGGGAUUUGUGGAUAAGUAUAACCUGCCAACCCAAGCCCUUAGGUCACCCAUGUUAGUAACCUCGCCAGGAGCAGAAUAUAUGGCUAGCCUAAGGUGUGAUCGGAUACCUUUGAGGAUGGGUAAUUACGUGUUCCCUCAGACCUAAUAGUAUUGGAGUCACAAGGACUGGAUGUAAUAUUAGGUAUGGAUUGGUUAUCGAAGUAUGGAGGGAACACUGACUACGCCAGUAAGUCGAUUUUACUCACCACCUCGGAAGGAAGAAGGAUUAAAUAUGUAUCCCAGCAUAUACCGAAGAGGACUCGAGUAAAUUCCUUAUCAGGAGUUGUACAGGAGGAAGGACCAGUGGUGAAGGAUUUCCUUGAUGUAUUUCCAGAGGAGUUGCCAGGCAUGCCACCGGACAGAGACAUUGAGUUUUUGAUUGAGCUUUUGCCAGGCACAGGACCAAUAUCGAAGAGACCAUAUCAGAUGCCUGCAAAGGAUUUGGAAGAAAUUAAGAAGCAGAUUAAGGAGUUACUGGAUAAAGGCUAUAUUCGCCCAAGUUCGUCACCUUGGGGAUCACCAGUACUUCUAGUGGAGAAUAAGGAUGGAUCGUUGAGGAUGGUUGUUGAUUAUUGAGGGCUGAAUGAAGUGACAAUUAAGAACAAGUAUCCACUACCGAUGAUCAAUGAUUUGUUUGAUCGUUUGCAAGGAGCUAAGGUAUUUUCCCAGAUCGAUCUGCGAUCAGGAUACCACCAGCUGAAGAUUCGAGAGCAAUAUAUACCUAAAACAGCUUUUACCACGAGGUAUGGGCUAUAUGAGUAUACUGUUAUGUCAUUUGGUCUGACCAAUGCACCUGCCUAUUUCAUGAACAUGAUGAACAAGGUAUUUAAGGAGUUAUUGGACAAGUUCGUCAUGGUGUUCAUUGAUGAUAUUCUGGUCUUCUCGAAGAAUGAAGAGGAGCAUGAAGAGCAUUUGCGUUUGGUACUUGAGAAACUCAGAGAACAUCAGUUAUAUGCCAAGUUCAGCAAGUGUGAGUUUUGGUUGAAGGAAGUUGGUUUCCUCGGACACGUUAUAUCCGGAGAAGGAAUAGUAGUAGACCCCGCCAAAGUUGACACUGUGACAACCUGGGAAUCCCCCACAGCAGUUGGAGAGAUCCGGAGUUUUCUUGGACUCGCAGGAUAAUACCGGAGGUUCAUUGUGAAUUUCUCAAAGAUUGCAAAGCCCAUGACGGAGUUGCUGAAGAAGGACACCAAGUUCAAUUGGACUGAGGAAUGUGAAGCCAGUUUCCAGGAGUUGAAGAAACGCUUGGUUACAGCCCCAGUGUUGAUUCUUCCAGAUCAACACAAGGAUUAUCCAGUGUAUUGCGACGCUUCUCAUCAACGACUCGGAGCAGUGCUAAUGCAGGAGGGAAGAGUAGUUUCGUAUGCUUCACGACAACUUAAACCCCAUGAGUUGAACUAUGCUACUCACGAUCUGGAGUUAGCAGCCGUAGUGCAUGCACUAAAGACGUGGAGACACUUUCUCAUUGGAAACCAUUGUGAAGUAUACACGGAUCACAAGAGUUUGAAGUAUAUAUUCACUCAGAAGGAGUUGAAUCUCAGACAAAUGAGAUGGUUGGAACUCAUCCAGGAUUAUGAUAUGAGAUUGCACUAUCAUCCCAGAAAGGCAAAUGUAGUAGCCGAUGUGUUAAUCCGCAAGAGUCAUGUCAAUACACUCAUAACCAAAGGAUUGCCCGACGAGUUGGCCGAAGAUCUUCGCGAGCUAUGCUUGGAGAUAGUUCCGGAGGGUUAUGUAGCAGCAUUGGAAAUUCAGUCUACCCUGAUGAGUAAGAUCAGAGAAGCUCAGAAGUCUGACACAGAGGUUUUUGAGAUAAAGGAAAGAAUGAGCAAGGGAAAGGCCAAAGGAUUUCGGGAGGAUGAGCACGAUACCUUAUGGUUUGAGGAUCACGUAUAUGUGCCCAAUGACCCUGAGAUCAGGAAGUUGAUUAUGCAGGAGGCACAUGAUUCGCCAUAUUUGAUUCACCCAGGAAAUACCAAGAUGUAUCUGGAUUUGAAAGACAGUUUCUUGUGGACUGGAAUGAAGAAGGAUAUUGCGGAGUGUGUGGCAGUUUGUGAUGUUUGUCAGAGAGUGAAGGCAGAGCAUCAGAAGCCAGCAGAAUUGCUACAGCCAUUGCCGAUACCCGAAUGGAAGUGGGACAAGCUAGGCAUGGAUUUCAUCACAGGAUUACCCCGAACGCGUUCAGGCUAUGACUCGAUUUGGGUUGUAGUCGACCGUUUGACGAAGGUAGCUCAUUUCAUCCCAGUAAAGACUACUUACAACAGUGCUAAGUUGGCGAAGAUAUACAUGACCAGGAUCGUAUGUCUGCAUGGAGUUCCGAGAGCCAUCGUAUUAGAUAGAGGAACCCAGUUUACCUCAAAGUUCUGGAAUCAGUUGCACGAUACCUUGGGAACCAGGCUAGAGUUCAGUACAGCCUUUCAUCCACAGACAGAUGGACAGAUCGAGAGAGUCAACCAAAUUCUAGAGGACAUGCUGAGAGCUUGUGCACUAGAUUAUGGAUCUAGUUGGGACGACAAUUUUCCUUACGCAGAGUUCUCCUACAACAACAGCUAUCAAGCCAUUUUAAAGAUGGCCCCUUUUGAAGCUUUGUACGGGAGAAGGUGUAGGACACCGUUGUUAAGGGACGAAGUUGGAGACCGUCAGUGUUCGGACCAGAUUUGAUUAAGGAAUCUGAAGAAAAGGUUAAGUUGAUUCGUGAUAGACUGAAGGUAACCCAGUCCAGACAGAAGAGCUAUGCGGAUUUAAAACGCAAGGAGACAGUUCAUGAAGUCGGAGAUAGAGUUUAUCUUCGCGUGUCCCCACUUCAAGGAGUUAAGCGUUUUGGAGUUAAAGGAAAAUUAGCACCACGUUUUGUGGGACCAUACAAAGUUCUGGAACGUAUGGGAGAAGUUGCUUACAAGUUGGAAUUGCAAGAAGGAUUGUCGGGAGUUCACGAUGUCUUCCAUGUUUCCCAGUUGAAAAAGUGCCACUCAGAGAUGGCCGAUAUUCUUCUAAAAGAUACAGUACCACUCGAAGCAAUUCAGUUGGAUAGUGAUUUGACCUACGAGGAGAAACCAGAGAAGAUUCUCGAGUAUGCCAGCCGAGUCACACGCAACAAGGUUAUCAGGUUCUGCAAAGUUCAAUGGAGCCACCAUACCGAGGAAGAAGCCACCUGGGAACGAGAGGAGGAUCUAUGGAAAGAUCACUCGCACCUAUUUUCUAGCCAACCCGAAUCUCGAGGGCGAGAUUCAUCUUAAGGGGGUUGGGAUCCUAAAAAUUCUAAGCAACUCAAGGACACUUGGAGAGAGUUGGGAAUUUAUUUAUUUUCAUAUUGGGAUUUUCUCAAAUAAUGAAAAGAGGAUCAUUGGUUUUUAAUUAUUUUUCUCUUCAAAUAUUUCAUAUAUAAAAAUAUGAGAGAGGGGAUAAAAUGACUUUCCCAAAAAUUAGAAAUAUUUGAGAGGAAAAAUAUUAAAGCCAAAUAAUAAUUUUUAUUUGGAUUUUAUUUGCUAUUUUAUUGGAUUUACGAAAAUACGCAUUUUUCAAAAUAUUAUUUCGGCCUUUCAAAAAUGACCACGUUGUAGAGCUCAUUUUUACGAGUCCGGCAAAAUUUGUUUCAUCGAAAUCGAAGUUCGUAUGGACUUACUUUUAAAUUUUCUAUCUCGUCCGAUUUAAAAAAAAUGAACUGACCGCGGAGACCUAUAUAAGCCCCCCUUGCGCGCACAAACCCUAGCCGCCGCUCGCCGCCCCUCGGCGGAGCACGCCGCCCGAGGUAGAAAAAAUAAUUUUUCAAAUUUUUAUUUUUAUUUUUAUUUUUUGGUUUAUUUAAUUAACGGACUUUCGUCCGUACGUUUGUUUUAACGAACACUGUUCGUUAAUUAAUUUCAGACGACGAACGUUCGUUCGUCCAUCUGUUCGUCGGAUUUAUUUUUUCGGAUUUUUCCGCGGUUANNNNNNNNNNNNNNNNNNNNNNNNNNNNNNNNNNNNNNNNNNNNNNNNNNNNNNNNNNNNNNNNNNNNNNNNNNNNNNNNNNNNNNNNNNNNNNNNNNNNNNNNNNNNNNNNNNNNNNNNNNNNNNNNNNNNNNNNNNNNNNNNNNNNNNNNNNNNNNNNNNNNNNNNNNNNNNNNNNNNNNNNNNNNNNNNNNNNNNNNNNNNNAAACGCCUAGAUUUUCGUCACGAAAAUCGCUUUUCGAUUAAUCCACUUGCACAAGAUUUUUAUAAAUAAUUUUUUACUUUAGUCCAGAUUAGUAAACGAAUCUCGUUUCUUUCGCAGUUUGAGUUUCGUUGAUCCGUUUGAUUUGAUUCUUUUUGCAAACCGGAGCUCUUUACUUGAACUUUCUGCUUAGAUCUUAUUCGAUUUUACCCGUGCAUCUAUACUGUUGCUUAUGUGUGCUAUUGUUUGUUGCGAUAGAAUACCCGGAUUGUGAAGCGUGCUACUACGAGUCCCUAGGUUUGCGGAUUAUCAGCAAGGCAAGUAACACUUUGAUCAUAUCCCUUAUUACCUAGUUUUUAUUGCAUUAGAUCCAUCCUCACACAUUGCAUGGUUAGGAUCUAAUUAACAUGUGGGUAUUGGGAAGUAGAUACUCAGGUAGAACCUAUUACCUGUUUACUAUCAAACUUUUGGGAGUUACUUCUAUGUUAUGCUAUUAUUGCUACGCUAUGCUCGUAGACGAUUAUUUGGGUGAGUGAUUUCCAUGACAGAUGUGAGUAUUGUUAAUUGAAGGUUAACUUAAGGUGGCUACUUAAAUACACAUCUCGGUGGAUUGCUUGAGGCACCCUGGAAUCCCGAGUGGCUGUCAGGAUAUCCCGGGGGAACCGUGUGAUCAUCCUAAGGUCCGCCACCCAGCUUCAAAGGGAUCAUAAGACUAUUCAUACCUGAAACUUACGUGUGCAGCCGCAAGCUAUUAUGGGCUCUAGCAUAGUUGAGUAAGUUGCGUGAAGCUCUCGAAGUGGUAGGCUAGCAUAUGUAGAGGGUAUAGGUGGUACGGUCUACCGAGAAGUAGAGAGUUAAUGCUUCAGAAAGACUCUGUCUCGAAUUCUCCGACCAUGGAUGUAUUUCGAGUCUUGUGGGAAAAGUGCGCAACCUCUGAAGAGUGUACAAACUAAUCAUGAUUAGCCGUGUCCCCGGUUAUGGACAUCUUGAGUAUCUGGUUCUUGGAUUUUCAUGUGUAUCUCAACACUCUAAAUUAAUUUGCGGGUUAAUGAUGAUUAUUUUGGAUUUGAGUUGGAGGAACCUUCUCAUUGUUUAAUAACUAACAACGUAGUUAAAUAAACUUUGUUCCACUUAGGAAGAAAUUUGGCUUUAUGCAAAACUGUUAACCAUAGAGCUUUUCACCAGCCAAGUAUUGAUGUAGAGAUAGUUUGUAUUCUGUUCACUCUCUAUGUGUUACCUUGCCAGCAUAUUCCAUGUGCUGACCCGUUUUGGGCUGCAACGUUCAUGUUGCAGACUUUUCAGAUAUCGAGUAAGUGCCAUAGGUCAUUGUUUUGCACUCAGCUAUGCCGUUGGAGUUGAUGGACCUACUUUAUCUUUCAAGCCUUCCGUUGUUAUCAUAUUUAGAUGGCCUUAGGCCAUAUUAUUGUAAUAAGUUCUCUUUGAGACAUUCGUUGUAAUAUGUGUGUGAUUGCUACUCUGUUAUAAUACCCAUCGAAGUACUGUGCGUGUCAGCAUACCGAUCCAAUGAUGACACAGAUGCAUAGAGACUGGACUGAUCGAGGUCUAGUCGUUACAUAGAGAUAGUACAAAGUUGAGACACUUAUUUUGAAACGGCGAAAGUACAUGACUUUAUAUAUCGAUACACACCGACUUAGAUUAGGUAUUACAAACCGACUUAGACUAGGAAACUUAUGAUGCAAGAAAGAGUGCACCACGGGCUAAAACACCCGUGCAUGGAGAUUUUAGCAGAUAAAAUUGAGAAAGAAAACAUUUGCGUCUAAUAAUCCCAUCUGGAUUUGGUGGAUAGAAGUUACCUACAUUGAGCCAGCAGCAGAUUUUCCAUACCUUGAAGACAUGAAUAUGUGGACCACAGGAGCCUGGGAGAGAUGCCACGCAGGAUAGCGAUUAGAGAACGCGGGGGGCGCCACGUAGCACAGUCGCAGAUGCCACGAUCCGACGUGGCCCAAUGGCUCGUUCUCGUGCGGAUAUUGCAGCCAAUGGCCGGCGGCAUUUGGAUAUCCCCAUCUCGCUCCGUCUCCGGCCUCUCGUGCUCUUAUUAGCAGCCUCAGAUUCCCUUGUCCUCUCAGAGCGCACGCCUGUUCUUCUUCCUGUUGUUGUCUCACCGCGCAGCAAGGAGCAGCCAGCAUCGAGAGAGCAGCAAUGGCUAUGGCGUCGUCAAGCGGGCUCAGGAGCUGCAGCGCCGUGGGCGUGCCGAGCCUGCUGGCGCCUUCGUCCCGGUCCGGCCGCUCCGGACUGCCGUUCUGCGCCUACGCCACCACCUCCGGCCGCGUCACCAUGUCCGCCGAGUGGUUCCCCGGCCAGCCCCGCCCCGCCCAUCUGGACGGCUCCUCGCCAGGGUGACUAAAGCAACAGAGCUGGCUAGCUAGUAGCCGAUCGACUCGACAUCAAUCAAUCUGACCGGCGAUUUCUGUUCUCCCUGCAGGGACUUCGGGUUCGACCCCCUGGGCCUCGCCACCGUGCCGGAGAACUUCGAUNNNNNNNNNNNNNNNNNNNNNNNNNNNNNNNNNNNNNNNNNNNNNNNNNNNNNNNNNNNNNNNNNNNNNNNNNNNNNNNNNNNNNNNNNNNNNNNNNNNNNNNNNNNNNNNNNNNNNNNNNNNNNNNNNNNNNNNNGGUUCAAGGAGUCCGAGAUCUACCACUGCCGCUGGGCCAUGCUCUGCGUGGUACGUCCUCCACCUCCUCCUCUGCACCACAUCCAUCAGCCAUUGUUGAGUUGUUCGCUGGUAGUAAUAACAUGGGUUGCGCUGUACGUGGCAUGGACAACGUGCAGCCAGGGGUGCUGGUGCCGGAGGCGCUGGGGCUGGGCAACUGGGUGAAGGCGCAGGAGUGGGCGGCGCUCCCAGACGGGCAGGCGACGUACCUGGGCAACCCGGUGCCGUGGGGCAACCUGCCGACCAUCCUGGCGAUCGAGUUCCUGGCCAUCGCCUUCGCGGAGCAGCAGCGCACCAUGGAGAAGGACCCGGAGAAGAAGAAGUACCCCGGCGGCGCCUUCGACCCGCUCGGCUUCUCCAAGGACCCCGCCAAGUUCGAGGAGCUCAAGCUCAAGGAGAUCAAGAACGGUACGUCCCAGUCCCAUCACAUAUACCCCGUUAUCGAAUGAAGAAUCAUACGUAGAUAGAACAAGCUGACGCGUUCGUCCGUGGGGAAUGCAUUGCAGGGCGGCUGGCGAUGCUGGCGUUCGUGGGGUUCUGCGUGCAGCAGUCGGCGUACCCCGGCACCGGCCCGCUGGAGAACCUGGCCACGCACCUCGCGGACCCGUGGCACAACAACAUCGGCGACAUCGUCAUCCCCAGAAAUAUCUACGGCCCUUGAGCGGAGCCGACCGGGCUGAGAGGAGAUCGAGGAGCCGGAGCGCAUGGUUUUCAUUCAUGUUUCUGAGUCGAUCCAUUGGUUGAUCACCUUGCCACGCUGGCUCUGCGCGCGCACCGUCCGUGCGUGCUGGAACUGUACAACAACGUCGGCUCUCCGGCCGGCAACCUUUGUAAUGUGUAAAGCUUAAGUAGCGGCCGCUGUUGCGAAUGCAUCCGUGUGAUCUGUAUAAAUUCUUUGCAUGAUGAUGUGUACGGAUAGUUAUCACGUGAUCACCUUAACAUUUCAUUGAGCUUAGGACAUCCCCAACGCGGCCCACCAAACAGAAGUCAUCACAUGUCCACGGACAGUCAGACUAUCAUAAUAAAGGAUAACAUAUAAAGUAGUAACAUGAAUAUGUUACUAGUAUAAGUUAUCAUCUCUAUAAUGGAUAGUAACAUAGAGAUUUUCAUCUAUUAGUUUGGGGUCCUGAUAUUCAUCAUAGUGUGAUAUAUUAGACAUCCACACACACCGUGUAUGGCGUACACAGAAGGUAGCCCACACGAAUUGUGUGUGGGAGAAUAAUAGAACUGACCACAUGUGUGGACACAACUACUUCAUGCCACACGUCCAACAAGUAUUAUCCAUCCCCAUUUGCGUGUGUAACACGAAGUAAAUCUUGUUGGAAUUAUGCCCUAGAGGCAAUAAUAAAUGUAUAGUUAUUAUUAUAAUUCCUGUAUCAAGAUAAUAGUUUAUUAUCCAUGCUAUAAUUGUAUUGAAUGAAGACUCAUUUACAUGUGUGGAUACAUAGACAAAACACCGUCCCUAGCAUGCCUCUAGUUGGCUAGCCAGUUGAUCAAUGAUAGUCAGUGUCUUCUGAUUAUGAACAAGGUGUUGUUGCUUGAUAACUGGAUCAUGUCAUUGGGAGAAUCACNNNNNNNNNNNNNNNNNNNNNNNNNNNNNNNNNNNNNNNNNNNNNNNNNNNNNNNNNNNNNNNNNNNNNNNNNNNNNNNNNNNNNNNNNNNNNNNNNNNNAUGUGUGGAGUAAUAGUAGUAGAUGCAGAAAGUAUCGGUCUACUUGUCUCGGACGUGAUGCCUAUAUGUAUGAUCAUUGCCUUAGAUAUCAUCAUGAUUUUGCACGGUUCUAUAAAUUGCGCAACAGUAAUUUGUUCACCCAGUGUAAUAUUUUCUAUUUUGAGAGAAGCCUCUAGUGAACACUAUGGUCCCCGGGUCUACUUCACAUCACAUUUUCAGCCUUACACUUUUACUUCGUUGCUCUUUCCGCCUUCAGAUCUCAGUUUGCAAUCAAUCUUGAAGGGAUUGACAACCCCUUUAUAGCAUUGGGUGCAAGCUCGUUUGUGUUUGCGCAUGUACUCUGGACACCUGGCUUUGAUUCUCCUAGUGGAUUGAUACCUUGGUUCUCAAAACUAAGGGAAAUUCUUACUGCUCAUGUGCUGCAUCACCCUUUCCUCUUUUUUUUUGACCGGCUACUGUAGGGAAAACCCCCCACAACCUUUUUUCUUUUAUUCCCAUAUAUAAGAGAAGUAUGUACAAGGAGAAAUUAGAAUGUACAAAUGGGAAGAGGAGCUAAAGCUACAAACCUCAAGGAGGCAAAAAGGAAACCCAUUUAAGGAGACCAUCCCUGAAACUAGCCUUAAUUCUAUGAGCUAAGAGGGAAAUGUCAUGGAUGAAGCCAGAUCUCCAUUUUCUGAACUUUGGCUGCUCCUGGUUAAAGACCUUUGCAUUUCUGAUAGUCCAGAUGUUCCAACAUGCAGUGAAGACCACCUCAGCAAAGAAGGGGUUAUGGAAGUCUCUUUUAGCAGCGAUAGUAGCACUCCACAUGGAUGGACCCUGCCAUGUGAUCUACAGGUAAUUCCAGACCCUGGUACUGAAAAGACAGGUGAAGAAUAAGUGAUCUGUGUCUUCCUUGACUCGAGCAUGGCAUAGAACACAGAGAUUGGAGUCGGAAACAUUCCAGUGACGCCGUUCAAGCAUGUCUUGAGUGUUAAGCCUGUCCAUGAUGAGCAUCCAGGCAAACAUCUUAAUCUUCAUGAUACAACAGCUUUUCCACAUCCAGUUGAGUAAAGGGUUUGGUGUAAUACUGCUGUGAAUGUGAGUGUAGUAUCUCUUGGCUGUGUAGGCCUUAGCAUCUUUUCCCCAUACCCAUCUGUCAGAGGCCUGAUGAUCAAUAUCCAGGUCUUGAAGCAAAGAUUGGACUGAAAGCAGCUCCUGGUAAGCCUGAGCACACAGUGGCAAGUGGAACAUAGAGAGCAUGCUGUCAUCAUACAAGGCUGUAAAGGCCUGUUGAGCUGUGCAGAAAGGAUCAGCCACAAAAGAAAAAAGUCUUUGAAAUCUAGCAGCCAGGGGCCUAGUGGAGUUUCCAAUCAACCAGGAGUCAUACCAAAACAGGAAGGAGUCACCCUUGUUAGGCAGAACAUAUGUAACUGAUCUGAAUUUGUCAAGCCGUUUACAGAUAUCCUUCCACCAAAAAGAACCACAAAGGGCAGUUCCCUGAGGUACUGUGUCAUGAUAGUAAGUGUUCCAAAUCAAGUGAACCCAUGGGAUAUCAGCAUGAUUUAGAAAUUUAUCAACAUGCUUGAGAAGGAGUGCUUCAUUCUGGAUUGCUAGGUUCAUAAUACCUAACCCCCGUGUAUUUUUAGGUCUGCACACCAGUUGCCAGGCAGCAAGAGAGGGUGCAUGAUCUUGCCCAUUUUUCCUCCAUAGACAUUGCCUUUGAAUUCUUUCAAGCUGCUUCAGUAUGCCUGGUGGGAUAUCCAGACUGCAUAGAAAGAAGAUAUGCACCGAAGAUAGUGCUGAGUUCAAAUACUGUAACCUUCCCCCCUGAGCUAGAAAAGAUGAACUAGCACUGAGUCUUCUUUCCAUGUUAUCAACCAGUGGCAUGAGAUCAAUGAUUCUUGGUUUAGUUGUCCCAACUGGUAGGCCAAGGUAUGUGAAGGACAAAGAUCCCACUUUGCAGCCAAUGGAGUCUGCCAGGUCCUGGAGUUGCUGUGGAGGAGUGUUGACAGGUAGAAGGGCAGAUUUGUGAUAAUUCACCUGUAAUCCAGUGGAUUGGGAGAAAAGUAAGAGCAUUUUCUUGAACUGUAGGAAUUGAGGUUUAUCGGCAGGUAGGAUGAUAACGGUAUCAUCAGCAUAUUGCACUAUGGGGAAGUCCUUCUCAUGACAAGGUAUGGGCAGCUUAAUCAGACCCUCCACCAGCAGUUGGUUAACCAGAGUCUGUAAAAAAUCAGCAGCAAUUGCAAAAAGCAGUGGGGACAUGGGAUCUCCCUGCCUGACUCCUUUCUUGCACAUAAACUUCUUUCCAGGCACACCAUUGAUCAGGACCGAAGAUGAGCCAAAAGUUAGUAGCUGCUUGACCCAAAGUAUCCAUUUGUCAUUGAAGCCUUUGUGCUUGAGAAUCUGAAAAAUGAACUCAUGUUCCACAGAGUCAAAUGCCUUUUCAAUAUCCAGCUUGAGAAUGACUAUAGGUUUUUGGAUUGAUGGCAUUGGUGCAGGUACUCCAGAGUCCAUCCAACACAAUCUUGAAUGGUUCUAGACUUCAUAAAACCAUACUGAUUCUUGUGAAGACACUUCACAAUCUGCAACUGUAGCCUGUUAGCAAUCAUUUUGGACAAAAAUUUGAGACCCAUCCCAGUAAGUGAUAUUGGUCUGUAAUCUCCCACUUGUUCAGGUGAUCUCUUCUUGGGAAUCAGAGUAAUAUAAGAUGAGUUCAUGUUCUCCAGUUGAGCAUGACCAGCAUGGAAAGCAGCAGCAAGUUGAUAAAACUCAGGGGAGAUAAUGGGCUAGCAUUUCUUGAAGAAAAGACCAUUAAAACCAUCAGGACCAGGAGCUUUGUCAAUGGGCAUUUCCUAAACAGUCUUGUCCAUUUCAUACUUAGAAAAAUGUUCUGUGAGAAUAUCCAGACCCUCAACCUUAUGAAGCAUAAAUUGUAAAUCAAAUGCCAUGUUAAUACCAAGAGAAGUGCUCAUUCUAUCCUUAAAAGAUGCCCAAAAGCAUGCAGCAAUUUGAUCAUGAUCAGAUAUGAUGGAACCAUCAUAUAACUUGAGAGAUGCAAUGGAAUUCCUCCUAUAUCUCUCAGUAGCCAUAGCAUGGAAGAAUUUAGUGUUUUCUUCACCAACUUUAACAAAUCUGAUAGUGGCUCUCUUUUUCCAGUAUAAGCACUGGAGAUGCAAAAGUUGCUCCAAGUGUAACUUAACAAUUUUCCUAAAGUUAGCCUCUGGUCUGAAUAGUGUCCUCAAUUCCUCAAGCUCAUCCAAACACAACACAACUUGAUUACAUCUGGAGAUGAAAGUUUUCAACUGAGAUAGGUUUGUCUGCCACUUUUUCAGAGCCUGCCUAAGAUGUUUCAUCUUAUCCAUAAUGACAGCAGUAAUAUGGGUUUUCCUGGAAGGAAUGAGCCAGGAUUGCUGAACACACUCCAUGAAGCCCUCCAUUUCAACCCAGUACUUUUCAAAGCGGAAUAAGUUGCACUUUGGGAUGGAAGUGUUGACAGUGACCACACAAGGAACAUGA